GAUGAACGCUGGCGGCGUGCUUAACACAUGCAAGUCGAACGAAGCACUUGAAUGGAAUUCUUCGGAAGGAAGCUCAAGUGACUGAGUGGCGACGGGUGAGUAACGCGUGGGUAACCUGCCUCAUACAGGGGGAGUAACAGUUAGAAAUAGACUGCUAAUAACCGCAUAAAGCACACGUGAUCGCAUGAUACGAGUGUGAAAACUACCGGUGGUAUGAGAUGGA
rnacentral:rRNA from 1 species